UAGGGAAUCUUCCGCAAUGGACGCAAGUCUGACGGAGCAACGCCGCGUGAGUGAAGAAGGAUUUCGGUUCGUAAAACUCUGUUGUUAGAGAAGAACAGCGCAUAGAGUAACUGUUAUGCGUGUGACGGUAUCUAACCAGAAAGCCACGGCUAACUACGUGCCAGCAGCCGCGGUAAUACGUAGGUGGCAAGCGUUGUCCGGAUUUAUUGGGCGUAAAGCGAGCGCAGGCGGUUAGAAAAGUCUGAUGUGAAAGCCCCCGGCUCAACCGGGGAGGGUCAUUGGAAACUGGUUGACUUGAGUGCGGAAGAGGAGAGUGGAAUUCCAUGUGUAACGGUGAAAUGCGUAGAUAUAUGGAGGACCACCAGUGGCGAAGGCGACUCUCUGGUCUGUAACUGACGCUGAGGUUCGAAAGCGUGGGUAGCAAACAGG
rnacentral:rRNA from 1 species